GUGGGGAAUUUUGGACAAUGGGCGCAAGCCUGAUCCAGCCAUUCCGCGUGCAGGAUGAAGGCCUUCGGGUUGUAAACUGCUUUUGUACGGAACGAAAAGCCUCUGGUUAAUACCCGGGGGUCAUGACGGUACCGUAAGAAUAAGCACCGGCUAACUACGUGCCAGCAGCCGCGGUAAUACGUAGGGUGCGAGCGUUAAUCGGAAUUACUGGGCGUAAAGCGUGCGCAGGUGGUGAUGUAAGACAGUUGUGAAAUCCCCGGGCUCAACCUGGGAACUGCAUCUGUGACUGCAUUGCUGGAGUGCGGCAGAGGGGGAUGGAAUUCCGCGUGUAGCAGUGAAAUGCGUAGAUAUGCGGAGGAACACCGAUGGCGAAGGCAAUCCCCUGGGCCUACACUGACGCUCAUGCACGAAAGCGUGGGGAGCAAACAGGAUUAGAAACCCGGGUAGUCC
rnacentral:rRNA from 1 species